rnacentral:tRNA from 1 species
GGUAGCGAUGCCGAAGAGGUCGAGGCGCUGGUCUGCAAAACCAGUCUUAACGGGUUCGAGUCCCGUCGCUACCUCCA